rnacentral:lncRNA from 1 species
AAUAAAUCCCUCAUCUUAUAUAUUAUUAUUGUAACAGGCCAAUUUUGUCCGGCCCACCAUAAACCAAAAAAUAAUAAAAUAAAUAAAACCAAAUAAAUAAAAGUUCAAGUCCAAUUGCAAAGCCCAAAUACAAAAAAGGCCCAAUGGCCCAAAAACCUAAACUAGUUUCAGAAAAGUCAGAAACCCUAGGGUUUCUAGCGACGCUCCUCUCCUCGAUCACGCCACCCGAGGCCCCUCAUCCCGAGGUCUGCCCUUUCUGCUGCCAUUUCGCCAAAAUGGCAAGGGCCUGCUUCUUCUAUCGUCAUUGACUACGCACCGCCACCUACAAAGAGAAAGAAACAAAGACAACAAAAACAACAAGAAAAUUCAAAAAAAUAUAUAAUAAAUAGUGUAUAAUGGCUACAAAAGCCAUGGAAGCAGAUUGUAUUCGGACUGAUUUUUUUAAAGGUAGAAAUCAGAAAGCAAAACUUAAAGAAAUUUUUAAAAAGGUGAUUUUUUUAGAUAUGUUAUUUUUAUUUUUUAUUUUUAAAAAACAUAAAAAGGAAAAAAGGAAAAGGGUUAAAAAAGUUACCAUGCCGUUUCAUGUCUCACCACAGUGAGUGGGCGAGGACCCCGCCUCUGAAUCACCUUUGGUUCGCCGGAGGCUACGUCGAAAACGGGGAUGAUGGGAACCCUUGGAAACGCAGAGAACCGAGAGGGUUUUUUUUGUUUUUGGUUUUUGGUUUUUAGUGGGUUUUCAGAAGUUUUGACCUCAGAU